rnacentral:rRNA from 1 species
CCUACGGGAGGCAGCAGUGAGGAAUAUUGGUCAAUGGGCGCAAGCCUGAACCAGCCAAGUCGCGUGAGGGAAGACGGCCCUACGGUUUGUAAACCUCUUUUGCCGGGGAGCAAGCAUUAGCACGUGUGCCCAGGCGGAGAGUCCCCGCAGAAAAAGCAUCGGCUAACUCCGUGCCCGCAGCCGGGCUAAGACGGAGGAUGCGAGCGUUAUCCGGAUGUAUUGGGUUUACAGGUUGCGCAGGCCGGCUGUUAGGCAGGCGGGAAACAUUCAGGUCUAAACCCUGUGGAGCAGUCGGCACUGGCAGUCUUGAGUGGGCGAGAAGUGUGCGGAAUGCGAGGUGUAGCGGUGAAAUGCAGAGAUAUCACGCAGAACGCCGAUUGCGAAGGCAGCACACCGGCGCCAGACUGACGCUGAGGCACGAAAGCGUGGGGAUCGAACAGGAUUAGAUACCCUAGUAGUC